rnacentral:rRNA from 1 species
UACGUAGGGGGCGAGCGUUGUCCGAAUUUACUGGGCGUAAAGCGCGCGUAGGCGGACCUUUAAGUUGGGGGUGAAAUUCCGGGGCUCAACCUCGGAACUGCCUUCAAAACUGGGGGUCUUGAGGUAUGGAGAGGGAAGUGGAAUUCCUGGUGUAGCGGUGAAAUGCGUAGAUAUCAGGAGGAACACCCGUGGCGAAGGCGGCUUCCUGGCCAUAUCCUGACGCUGAGGUGCGAAAGCCAGGGGAGCGAACGGGAUUAGAUACCCCCGUAGUCC